rnacentral:rRNA from 1 species
CCUACGGGAGGCAGCAGUAGGGAAUCUUCCACAAUGGGCGCAAGCCUGAUGGAGCAACACCGCGUGAGUGAAGAAGGGUUUCGGCUCGUAAAGCCCUGUUGUUGGAGAAGAGUGUGCGCGAGAGUAACUGUUCACGCAGUGACGGUAUCCAACCAGAAAGUCACGGCUAACUACGUGCCCGCAGCAGCGGUAAUACGUAGGGGGCAAGCGUUACCCGGAAUUAUUGGGCGUAAAGCGAGCGCAGGCGGUUGCUUAGGUCUGAUGUGAAAGCCUUCGGCUUAACCGAAGAAGUGCAUCGGAAACCGGGCGACUUGAGUGCAGAAGAGGAUAGUGGAACUCCAUGUGUAGCGGUGGAAUGCGUAGAUAUAUGGAAGAACACCAGUGGCGAAGGCGGCUGUCUGGUCUGUAACGGACGCUGAGGCUCGAAAGCAUGGGUAGCGAACAGGAUUAGAUACCCCGGUAGUC